GCCCUAGUAACGGCGAGUGAAGCGGCAAUAGCUCAAAUUUGAAAGCUGGCCUUUGGUCCGCAUUGUAAUUUGUAGAGGAUGCUUUUAGGCAGCCGCCGGUCUAAGUUCCUUGGAACAGGACGUCAUAGAGGGUGAGAAUCCCGUAUGUGACCGGCUCAGGCACCUUCUGUAAAGCUCCUUCGACGAGUCGAGUUGUUUGGGAAUGCAGCUCUAAAUGGGAGGUAAAUUUCUUCUAAAGCUAAAUACUGGCGAGAGACCGAUAGCGCACAAGUAGAGUGAUCGAAAGAUGAAAAGUACUUUGGAAAGAGAGUUAAAAAGCACGUGAAAUUGUUGAAAGGGAAGCGCUUGCAAUCAGACUUGGCCUCGGUUGUUCAACCGGUCUUUUGACCGGCCUAUUCAAUCGGGGGCAGGCCAGCAUCAGUUUCGGCGGCCGGAUAAAGGCCUUGGGAAUGUGGCCUCUCCUUCGGGGGAGGUGUUAUAGCCCAGGGUGUAAUACGGUCAGCUGGGACUGAGGUCCGCGCUUCGGCUAGGAUGCUGGCGUAAUGGUUGUAAGCGGCCCGUCUUGAAACACGGACCAAGGAGUCUAACAUCUAUGCGAGUGUUAGGGUGUCAAACCCUUACGCGUAAUGAAAGUGAACGGAGGUGGGAACCCGCAAGGGUGCACCAUCGACCGAUCCUGAUGUCUUCGGAUGGAUUUGAGUAAGAGCAUAGCUGUUGGGACCCGAAAGAUGGUGAACUAUGCCUGAAUAGGGUGAAGCCAGAGGAAACUCUGGUGGAGGCUCGCAGCGGUUCUGACGUGCAAAUCGAUCGUCAAAUUUGGGUAUAGGGGCGAAAGACUAAUCGAACCAUCUAGUAGCUGGUUCCUGCCGAA
rnacentral:rRNA from 1 species